rnacentral:rRNA from 1 species
GUGGGGAAUAUUGGACAAUGGGCGAAAGCCUGAUCCAGCCAUGCCGCGUGUGUGAAGAAGGUCUUCGGAUUGUAAAGCACUUUAAGUUGGGAGGAAGGGCAGUAAGUUAAUACCUUGCUGUUUUGACGUUACCGACAGAAUAAGCACCGGCUAACUUCGUGCCAGCAGCCGCGGUAAUACGAAGGGUGCAAGCGUUAAUCGGAAUUACUGGGCGUAAAGCGUGCGCAGGCGGUUUUGUAAGACAGGCGUGAAAUCCCCGGGCUCAACCUGGGAAUUGCCUCCAAAAAUGCAUGACUAGAGUACGGUAGAGGGUAGUGGAAGUUCCUGUGUAGAGGUGAAAUGCGUAGAUAUAGGAAGGAACACCAGUGGCGAAGGCGACUACCUGGACUGAUACUGACACUGAGGUGCGAAAGCGUGGGGAGCAAACAGGAUUAGAUACCCGAGUAGUCC